AUGCAUGUCUCAGUGCAAACCGAUCUAAGGUGAAACCGCGAAUGGCUCAUUAAAUCAGUUAUGGUUCCUUGGACCUGAAAUUUUACUUGGAUAACUGUGGUAAUUCUAGAGCUAAUACAUGCAUUCAGUCUCGACCGGCGACGGAAGGGACGCUUUUAUUAGAUCAAAACCAAUCGGCGGGUUCUUCGGGCCCGCCGUCUCUUUUGGUGACUCUGGAUAACUUUGGGCGGAUCGCACGGUCUUUGCACCGGCGACGUACCCUUCAAAUGUCUGCCUUAUCAACUGUCGAUGGUAGGCUCUGCGCCUACCAUGGUCAUAACGGGUGACGGGGAAUCAGGGUUCGAUUCCGGAGAGGGAGCCUGAGAAACGGCUACCACAUCCAAGGAAGGCAGCAGGCGCGCAAAUUACCCACUCCCGGCACGGGGAGGUAGUGACGAAAAAUAACGAUACGGGACUCAUCCGAGGCCCCGUAAUCGGAAUGAGAACACUUUAAAUCCUUUAACGAGUAUCAACUGGAGGGUAAGUCUGGUGCCAGCAGCCGCGGUAAUUCCAGCUCCAGUAGCGUAUAUUAAAGUUGCUGCGGUUAAAAAGCUCGUAGUUGGUGGUGUGUCCCGCGCUGCCGGUUCACCGCUCGCCGGUGUUCAACUGGCAGGUGUGCGGGACGUCCUGCCGGUGGUGGCGAGUCGAAGGCGAGGGCGGGCGCGCCUUUCCUGCCUUCGCUCCGUCAGCGGCGUCAGAUCGCCGGUCGGCGGAGGUCGGCGUGGUGCGGCCGCGCCUGGGCGUCGGUCGGGUGCCGGUUAGUGAGCGGUUGUUCUCGCCGCGCGUUGUGGUUAGCGCGUGUUAGCGUCGAGCGCGCGCGCGGAUUCACGUUGUCGCUUCUCCUCGCUCGCGAUCUCGCAAUCUCGAAGCCUUUACUCCCUUGCGUCUAUGCCUGUGGCGCUGUUCUCGUGCGCGCGCUUUGCGGUGCGUGUGCGGGGCGGCACGCAGGCAGCGCCUGGGAGGUUAGGUGGAAGGAGCGCGAGCUCUCGCGGGCACCAAAGGGGGGUCGCGGCUUCGCCGUGUGUGUCUCGGUGCGCGCGUGCGCGCUGCAGCGUCGGCGGUAACUGCUCGCCCGGUACACUCCGGUCGGCUGUCCUCGGCGUAGCGGCCCGCCGAUUCCGACGUCGGCCGUGACGCUCUGCGCGUCGCGGGCGGGUUCGGCGUCGUUGCAGAGGGCGCGUCGCUCGGCUCUCGUCCGAGGCGGACCCCGCUUUUAUGCUCCCGCCGCGGUGCUCUUUACCGAGUGUCGUGCGGGCCGGCACGUUUACUUUGAACAAAUUAGAGUGCUUCAAGCAGGCCCGGCUCGCCUGUAUAUGUGUGCAUGGAAUAAUGGAAUAGGACCUCGGUUCUAUUUUGUUGGUUUUCGGAGCCCGAGGUAAUGAUUAAUGGGGAUUGCCGGGGGCAUCCGUAUUGCGACGUUAGAGGUGAAAUUCUUGGAUCGUCGCAAGACGGACCGAAGCGAAAGCGUUUGCCAAGUAUGUUUUCUUUAAUCAAGAACGAAAGUUAGAGGUUCGAAGGCGAUCAGAUACCGCCCUAGUUCUAACCAUAAACGAUGCCAACUGGCGAUCCGCUGUGUGUCUAAUGCUUCACGGCGGGCAGCCCACCGGGAAACCAAAGUCUUUGGGUUCCGGGGGAAGUAUGGUUGCAAAGCUGAAACUUAAAGGAAUUGACGGAAGGGCACCACAAGAGGUGGAGCCUGCGGCUCAAUCUGACUCAACACGGAAAAACUUACCAGGCCAGGACACCGGAAGGAUUGACAGAUUGAGAGCUCUUUCUUGAUUCGGUGGGUGGUGGUGCAUGGCCGUUCAUAGUUGGUGGAGUGAUUUGUCUGGUUAAUUCCGGUAACGAACGAGACCCUGUUCUGCUAACUAGUCGACAUUCCGGCAUCCUUGGCGCAGCCGGCGACUCAUAUUCUUCUUAGAGGGACUGGCAGCUUUUAGCUGCAGGAAGUGGGGCAAUAACAGGUCUGUGAUGCCCUUAGAUGUUCUGGGCAGCACGCGCGCUACACUGAAGGCAUCAACGUGUUCUUCUUUGGCCGAGAGGUCCGGGCAACCCGUUGAAUCGCCUUCGUGAUAGGGAUAGGGGCUUGCAAUUAUCCCCCUCGAACGAGGAAUCUCUCGUAAGCGGAAAUCAUUAGUUUCUGCUGAUUAAGUCCCUGCCCUUUGUCCACACCGCCCGUCGCUACCACCGAUUGAAUGAUGGGGUGAGGUCUUCGGACCAGUGCGCGGCGUCCGCGGCGCAAGUCGCGGAAGCCGAGGCGACCGGAAAGAUGACCAAACUUCAUUUUUUAGAGGAUGUAAAAGUCGUAACAAGGUUGACGUA
rnacentral:rRNA from 1 species